UACGUAGGUCCCGAGCGUUGUCCGGAUUUAUUGGGCGUAAAGCGAGCGCAGGUGGUUUAUUAAGUCUGGUGUAAAAGGCAGUGGCUCAACCAUUGUAUGCAUUGGAAACUGGUAGACUUGAGUGCAGGAGAGGAGAGUGGAAUUCAAUGUGUAGCGGUGAAAUGCGUAGAUAUAUGGAGGAACACCGGUGGCGAAAGCGGCUCUCUGGCCUGUAACUGACACUGAGGCUCGAAAGCGUGGGGAGCAAACAGG
rnacentral:rRNA from 1 species